GCUCUCCUCCGGGGCGCGGACAAAGCCGGUGCAGGAUUAUCAACCCCGGGACAAAGUGUGUGAUUACCAUGAGAAAACAGCCAGCUCCAGCCUCAUAGCCAAGGACUGCCGGGCCUGCUGGAGAGACGCAUUUGUGUCCCGUCCCGAGGUGACAACGCCAAACAGAGCCAUUUUAAGCCCCCGAUCAGUGGAUUUCCCACCUCUUCACUGAAGAGUCCCCCUGUCUGUCCACCCUGGAUUAAAGGGAUGAGCUCAUGCUCCCCCGUCUCCUCAUGCAGCCCUCUGUCUCCUCCGAGGAGCAUGAGAAGAAGACGUCUUUUGUCGGCGAGAGGCAACGCACUCGAGUAGAGACGGCGCGUUUGGGCCAAGAGGGGACGCGGCGGAGGCGACGCCGAGCAGCAGCUGUGCACAUAGCGGCGAGCUGGUCGGGAGGAGCCGCGUUACGUAACCUCGCUGAGGACGGAGCCUUUCCCUUUGUUUGACGUCAUAGCUUGGGAGGGCGACAUGUCACAGAUGUAGGGGGACGGUGAGCCUGUCACGUGUUGCUUUGUCUGGGCCUUCACCACAACAUACCUCCACGAGUUCCCCUAGCAACUGCCUCUGCUCUCGACCACCCUACUGUAUCUGGAGGAAACGGCAGCAUUCUUCCUCUUGGCCACUAUUCUCCAGUGACUCCACAAAAGGUCACUUUGACUUUUAAUUUCUCUCCUUUAGCUAUGAUUCAUGAUUUGCGCUCUUAUGUGGGCCAGUUAAUGUUUAUAUUUGACUUCUGGAAGAACUAAAAUAAAUUGCGCUCUGAUUGGACA
rnacentral:lncRNA from 1 species